UUCUUGGGCGAAGAGAUUGAAUGUCUGCAGCAGACAGCGGUUUUAAUGGGAUAAAAACGCUUUUUACCGAGUUUAUUGGGAAUAUUUCAAUGUGAACGUGUUUUUUGACAACAUUUACAACAUUGUGUCGGAGGAUUUCUGUAACUUUUGUCAAAGUGUAGAGCGGAAACCAUGCCCCUGUGCCUGCAGUAACAUCAAAAGGAGAUACUCCAGACCCAACCUUAACCAACAUCCACGUAUGAAAUAACGAUUCUACAGAGCAGGUUCCAAACAACGUCACAGCGGUGACAGGUACGAUAUAAUAAGUAUGCAACCAUUAAUAGGAAGUUUAGAGAAGAGGCUCGCCCUGUUGUGUAUUUAAAUGUGACUUGGUUGAACAAAAUAUGUAACGAGGGGAGAUUGGGUGGACUGUCCUAUGACAUCUAUCUUUGCCUUUGAGUCUCAUCGUGGAGGUCAUGGGCGUUUUGUCUAAUCUGGGAAUGGCUCUCGUCUUAUCAUUGUGGAUACAGGUUCAUGAUCCCAGGAUCUGCUUUCAUUUUUGAUUCGAAAACAGGCAUCCAGGAUUAUCAUGACGAAAUGGAACUCAGAAAACUUCACGAAGUGGUUCACUGAGCAGUUACUUCCUAACUUUACCGGCCAAUUCAGUCAUAGUGAUGGAUAUCCUUACUAUCACAGUCAUCUGGAUCUUGAGUCUAAGUGUCUGACUUCGUCGGCACCGAAGGCAGAGAUCCAAUCUUGGCUUGAUAGAAAGGAUAUCCAUAACACUCCGGAGAGGAUAAAGACUGAAUUGAUCACAUUGGAGAAGCAACAUAAGCCUCUGACCUUGUACUGUGAGCCGUAAAUUUGGCGUCAGCUCUCAUUCCUAGAGAUUGCGGCGAAGAAAGCCUAAGGUUUUGCAUGAUUUGACUCGGAUAUUAUAGAUGUGUUCCGUCAAGUUAAGCUUGAUGUUUAAAGUAUCACCUAGGUACUUUUCACUGCUAACUGACUCUAGGGAGUGUCCAUGAAGAAGGUACUUGUUGUGUACGAGUCGCUGUUUCUUAAAGACAUGGAAGACUGUACAUUUCGGGGGGGAUUCCAUUUGCGAACUUCGUUCCCUUUUCUCUAGAGACAUGAAAUUUAGUUGGAGUUGCUCAGCAUCUUCUAUGAAAUUGAUUUUUCGAUGAAAAAAUCCGCAGUGAUACGUCUGAUAUUAAAUAUUUGAUGCAAAAUUUCGAGCAAUUUAAUCAUGAUUAACAAUGCAAGCAAUUUACUAUAAUAAGUCCGUCAACAAGGGAGAGCACCAAUUGCGAUUAUGACACGAUAUCUUCCGAAACAACAAGUGAAUAGAACCCCGACAAAAUAAAUACAUUGUCAGAGAAACAACGACACUUACAGUUCUGGAAUCAACAGCUUAAAUUCCGAAGGAUAGUGUUUUGGAAUGUCCGAAAGUCAGAGAGUAAGAAGAGAAAGGUUAGUAUUGGAAGAAUUCAAA